AACGAACGCUGGCGGCAUGCCUAACACAUGCAAGUCGAACGAGACCUUCGGGUCUAGUGGCGCACGGGUGCGUAACGCGUGGGAAUCUGCCCUUGGGUUCGGAAUAACCAGGAGAAAUCCUGGCUAAUACCGGAUGAUGACUUCGGUCCAAAGAUUUAUCGCCCAAGGAUGAGCCCGCGUAGGAUUAGCUAGUUGGUGAGGUAAAGGCUCACCAAGGCGACGAUCCUUAGCUGGUCUGAGAGGAUGAUCAGCCACACUGGGACUGAGACACGGCCCAGACUCCUACGGGAGGCAGCAGUGGGGAAUAUUGGACAAUGGGCGAAAGCCUGAUCCAGCAAUGCCGCGUGAGUGAUGAAGGCCCUAGGGUUGUAAAGCUCUUUUACCCGGGAUGAUAAUGACAGUACCGGGAGAAUAAGCCCCGGCUAACUCCGUGCCAGCAGCCGCGGUAAUACGGAGGGGGCUAGCGUUGUUCGGAAUUACUGGGCGUAAAGCGCACGUAGGCGGCUUUGUAAGUUAGAGGUGAAAGCCCGGGGCUCAACCCCGGAAUUGCCUUUAAGACUGCAUCGCUUGAAUCCAGGAGAGGUGAGUGGAAUUCCGAGUGUAGAGGUGAAAUUCGUAGAUAUUCGGAAGAACACCAGUGGCGAAGGCGGCUCACUGGACUGGUAUUGACGCUGAGGUGCGAAAGCGUGGGGAGCAAACAGG
rnacentral:rRNA from 1 species